AGUGGGGAAUAUUGCACGAAUGGGCGCAAGCCUGAUGCAGCCAUGCCGCGUGUAUGAAGAAGGCCUUCGGGUGUAAAGGUACUUUCAGCAGUGAGGAAGGUGGGUAUGUUAAUAGCAUACUCAUUUGACGUUAGCUGCAGAAGAAGCACCGGCUAACUCCGUGCCAGCAGCCGCGGUAAUACGGAGGGUGCGAGCGUUAAUCGGAAUUACUGGGCGUAAAGCGCAUGCAGGUGGUUUGUUAAGUCAGAUGUGAAAGCCCGGGGCUCAACCUCGGAAUUGCAUUUGAAACUGGCAAACUAGAGUACUGUAGAGGGGGUAGAAUUUCAGGUGUAGCGGUGAAAUGCGUAGAGAUCUGAAGGAAUACCGGUGGCGAAGGCGGCCCCCUGGACAGAUACUGACACUCAGAUGCGAAAGCGUGGGGAGCAAACAGGAUUAGAUACCCUGGUAG
rnacentral:rRNA from 1 species